rnacentral:rRNA from 1 species
UACAGAGGUCUCAAGCGUUGUUCGGAUUCAUUGGGCGUAAAGGGUGCGUAGGUGGCGAGGCAAGUCAGAUGUGAAAUCCCGGGGCUCAACCCCGGAACUGCAUUUGAAACUGCCUUGCUCGAGUACUGGAGAGGAGACUGGAAUUUACGGUGUAGCAGUGAAAUGCGUAGAUAUCGUAAGGAAGACCAGUGGCGAAGGCGGCUCACUGGCCCGAUACUGACGCUGAGGCACGAAAGCGUGGGGAGCAAACAGG